rnacentral:rRNA from 1 species
UGGGGAAUUUUGGACAAUGGGGGCAACCCUGAUCCAGCCAUUCCGCGUGAGUGAAGAAGGCCUUCGGGUUGUAAAGCUCUUUUGUUCGGGACGAAACGGUUACGGUUAAUAACCUUGACUAAUGACGGUACCGGAAGAAUAAGCACCGGCUAACUACGUGCCAGCAGCCGCGGUAAUACGUAGGGUGCGAGCGUUAAUCGGAAUUACUGGGCGUAAAGCGUGCGCAGGCGGUUUUAUAAGCCAGAUGUGAAAUCCCCGGGCUCAACCUGGGAAUGGCAUUUGGGACUGUAAGACUAGAGUAUGGCAGAGGAGACUAGAAUUCCUGGUGUAGCAGUGAAAUGCGUAGAUAUCAGGAGGAAUACCGAUGGCGAAGGCAGCCCCCUGGGAUCAUACUGACGCUCAUGCACGAAAGCGUGGG